UGCCGCGUGUGUGAAGAAAGGGCUUCGGAUUGUAAAGCACUUUCACGGGGGACGAUGAUGACGGUACCCCGUAGAAGAAGCCCCGGCUAACUUCGUGC
rnacentral:rRNA from 1 species